rnacentral:rRNA from 1 species
UCUGACGGAGCAACGCCGCGUGAACGAUGAAGGCUUUCGGGUCGUAAAGUUCUGUUGUCAGGGAAGAACAAGUACCGGAGUAACUGCCGGUACCUUGACGGUACCUGACCAGAAAGCCACGGCUAACUACGUGCCAGCAGCCGCGGUAAUACGUAGGUGGCAAGCGUUGUCCGGAAUUAUUGGGCGUAAAGCGCGCGCAGGCGGUUCCUUAAGUCUGAUGUGAAAGCCCCCGGCUCAACCGGGGAGGGUCAUUGGAAACUGGGGAACUUGAGUGCAGAAGAGGAGAGCGGAAUUCCACGUGUAGCGGUGAAAUGCGUAGAGAUGUGGAGGAACACCAGUGGCGAAGGCGGCUCUCUGGUCUGUAACUGACGCUGAGGCGCGAAAGCGUGGGGAGCGAACAGGAUUAGAUACCCUGGUAGUCCACGCCGUAAACGAUGAGUGCUAAGUGUUAGAGGGUUUCCGCCCUUUAGUGCUGCAGCAAACGCAUUAAGCACUCCGCCUGGGGAGUACGGCCGCAAGGCUGAAACUCAAAGGAAUUGACGGGGGCCCGCACAAGCGGUGGAGCAUGUGGUUUAAUUCGAAGCAACGCGAAGAACCUUACCAGGUCUUGACAUCCUCUGACAACCCUAGAGAUAGGGCGUUCCCCUUCGGGGGACAGAGUGACAGGUGGUGCAUGGUUGUCGUCAGCUCGUGUCGUGAGAUGUUGGGUUAAGUCCCGCAACGAGCGCAACCCUUGAUCUUAGUUGCCAGCAUUCAGUUGGGCACUCUAAGGUGACUGCCGGUGACAAACCGGAGGAAGGUGGGGAUGACGUCAAAUCAUCAUGCCCCUUAUGACCUGGGCUACACACGUGCUACAAUGGAUGGAACAAAGGGUCGCGAAGCCGCGAGGUCGAGCCAAUCCCAUAAAUCCAUUCUCAGUUCGGAUUGCAGGCUGCAACUCGCCUGCAUGAAGCCGG